CAACAGUUUUGUUUGCUUUUGAUACUUUUUCUGCUUGGCAACUGAUACAUUUUUUUCCAGCUCGCGGCAACGCUGUUCACGAUGUGUGUUUAUGGCGAGAUGUUAACUUCAUGUUAUUCAUAGUGGACGUGAUGUUAGCUCCUCUGCUCUGUUCCGGGUCGCCAUGUUAUUCAUAGUGGUCGUAAUGUUAACUUCUCUGCUCUGGUCCGGGUUGUAAUAUUACGUCCGCCGAAGAAAAAUAAAUUUGUAUGUGGUGCGUCUUCUGUAUACUGUUUAUUCUGUGGUUUUACAUUUCGGGCUACGUCU